CUGUAACAUAACACAAUGUGAAAAAAGUCAAGGGGUCUGAAUAAUUUCUGAAUGCACUAUUUCCCAUGCAAAUAAAGCUGCUUUGAAUUGAAUUGAGACGAGAAAUGAAAAUCAAUAUGACCUUUCAUGAUGUAAAGGGGAAGACAGGCUUAUCGUUGUUCCAUAGGUCAGAGGUCAAUCCAAAAGUGGAAGAGUGCAAAAGAUUACUGGUUAUGAUCACUGUUCACAGAGUAAAUAAAAUGUGGAACGACAUACACGCUGCACUUUGGUCCGCUUCUCCUUUCGACAACCGUGACAGAAUCUCCCACCACCAAAGGACCAAGCAGC
rnacentral:lncRNA from 1 species